rnacentral:rRNA from 1 species
UUGAGGACUAUUAUAACCACCCUCUCUAUACUCAUUCCCUCCCUCAAGCCAUAUAAUCUCUUGAAUGUGAUGUGGAAUUCGCUCAAUCCACUGUUGAAUCUUCUCUUGCAAAAGCUCAUUCCAGGCUUGCAGCCAUACUUCCUUUGCAGUCUUGGUUUCGCGUGGAGCUUCACAAGAAGUCAUACACCUUUUCAUCUACAUCCAAGCAGGCUUGAUUGCAUUUAAAUCUGGUGAAUUUCCUGGCCAAAGCAGCUGCUUUAUUCUAUGUAAAUUAUAUAACUUUCUCUGCAAAAAAUAAAUAUGUGCUGGUGCUCCAUCUUCUUGCUCUAAGGUCUUUGGUUGAUCUUUAAGGCACUCCUUUGCAAAGAGAAUAAGCUGGGGAAUAAGAACCUCUUAGUUAGAAUUAAACAAGAAAUUAGCCUUUAUUUCAGAAUGCGGCCAGCCGGGACUGAGGAACGCGCUUCAGCACAGAUGCUGGCAUAAUGGUUGUAAGUGGCCCAUCUUGAAACAUGGACCAAGAAGUCUAACAUCCAUGCAAGUGUUCGGGUGUCAAACCCAUGUGUGCAGUGAAAGCAAAUGGAGGUGGAAGCCUGCAAGAGUGCACCAUCAACCAAUUCUGAAGUCUUUGAAUGGAUUUGAGUAAGAGUGUGGCUGUUGGGACCUGAAAGAUGGUGAACUAUGCCUGAAUAGGGUGAAGCCAGAGGAAACUCUGAUGGAGGCUUGCAGUGGUUCUGAUGUGCAAAUUGAUCAUCAAAUUUGGGUAUAGAGGUGAAAGACUAAUCAAACCAUCUGGUAGCUGGUUCCUGCUGAAGUUUCCCUCAGGAUAGCAGUAACAUUUUCAGUUUUAUGAGGUAAAGUGAAUGAUUAGAGGCCUUGGGGUUGAAACAAUCUUAACCUAUUCUCAAACUUUAAAUAUGUAAGAAGCCCUUGUUACUUAAGUGAAUGUGAGCAUUAGAAUGGAUCAUUACUAGUGGGCCAUUUUUGGUAAGCAGAACUGGUGAUGUGGGAUGAACUGAACACAAGAUUAAGGUGCCAGAAUGCAUGCUCAUCAGACACCACAAAAGAUGUUAGUUCAUCUAGACAGCCUGACAGUGGCCAUGGAAGUCAGAAUCCACUAAGAAGUGUGUAACAACUCACAGGCCAAAUGAACUAGCCCUGAAAAUGGAUGGCACUCAAGUGUGCUAUCCAUACCUUGCCAUCAGAGUAGAAAUGAAGCCCUGAUGAGUAAGCAGGCAUGGAGGUUUGUAACAAAGUCUUGGAAGUAAUUCCAGGUCAAACAGCCUCUAGUGCAGAUCUUGGUGGUAGUAGCAAAUACUCAAAUGAGAACUUUAAGAACUGAAGUGGGAAAAGAUUCCAUGUGAACAGCAGUUGGACAUGAGUUAGUCAAUUCUAAGAUAUAGGGUAGUUCUGUUUGAAAGUGUGCUCUAGUGCAUCAUUUGUCAAAAGGGAAGCUGGUUAAUAUUCCAGCACCUGAAUGCAGAUUCUCCAUGGCAACAUAACUGAAUGUGAAGAUGUUAGCAGAAGUCCUGGAAAAAGUUCUCUUUUCUUCUUGAUGAUCUAUCAUUCUGAAAUCAGUUUGUCCAGAGCUAGAGUUUCAUGACCAGCAGAGCUUUACAUAUUUGCAGGGUCUGGUGCACUCCUGAUGACCCUUGAAAAUCUGCAGGAAGGAAUAGUUUUCACACCAGGUCAUACUCAUAACUGUAGCAGGUCUCCAAGGUGAAAAGCCUCUAGUUAAUAGAACAAUAUAGAUAAGGGAAGUCAGCAAAAUAGAUCUGUAACUUCAGGAAAAGGAUUGACUCUAAGAGUCAGGCACAUUAGGCCUUGGGGGAAAGUCUCUGGAGCAGGAGGGCACUAGCCAGGCAACUAGCAGAUGUCUUCCAGCAUCAGGAUGUGAAUGCCCUUGGCAGGCUUCAGCUGUCUGGCAUGUGAUUAACAACCAACUUAGAACUGGUAUGGACAAGGGGAAUCUGACUGUCUAAUUAAAACAUAGCAUUGUGAUGGCCAGAAAGUGAUAUUAACACAAUGUGAUUUCUGCUCAGUGCUCUGAAUGUUAAAGUGAAGAAAUUCAAUCAAGUGUGGGUAAACAGUAAAAGUAACUAUGACUCUCUUAAGAUAGUCAAAUGCCUCAUCAUCUAAUUAGUGAUGCACAUGAAUGGAUUAAUGAGAUUCCCACUGUCCCUAUCUACUAUCUAGCAAAACCAUAGCCAAGGGAAUGGGCUUGAUAAAAUCAGUGGGGAAAGAAGACUCUGUUGAGCUUGACUCUAGUUUGACAUUGUGAAAAGACAUAUCAGAUGUAGAAUAGGUGGGAGCUUUGGUACUGGUGAAAUACCACUACCUUUAUUGUUUUUUUACUUAUUCAAUAAAGCAGAACUGAGCUUUACUGCCCAACUUCUAGCAUUAAGGUUCUUUGCAGGCUGAUCAAGGUUGAAGACAUUAUCAGAUGAAGAGUUUGGCUGGAGCAGCACAUCUGUUAAAUCAUAACACAGGUGUUCUAAGAGGGACUCAUGGAGAACAGAAAUCUCCAGUAGAACAAAAGAGUAAAAGUCCUCUUGAUUUUGAUUUUCAGUGUGAAUACAAACCAUGAAAGUGUGGCCUAUUGAUCCUUUAGUCCCUCAAAAUUUGAGGCUAGAGGUGCCAGAAAAGUUACCACAGGGAUAACUGGCUUGUGGCAGCCAAGUGUUCAUAGUGAUGUUGCUUUUUGAUUCUUCAAUGUCAGCUCUUCCUAUUAUACUGAAGCAGAAUUUGGUAAGUGUUGGAUUGUUCACUCACUAAUAGAGAACAUGAGCUGGAUUUAGACCAUCAUGAGACAGGUUAGUUUUACCCUACUGAUGAAGAUCACCACAACAGUAAUUCAAUUUAGUAUGAGAGAAACUGUUGAUUCAGAUAAUUGGUUUUUGUGGCUGUCUGACCAGGCAGUGCCACAAAGCUACUAUCUGCUGGAUUAUGGCUGAAUGCCUCUAAGUCAGAAUCCAUACUGGAACAUGGUGAUGUUGCUCCACAUGUUGU